AUGCCUCCCAGCUGGGGGGUGGAUCGAAUCGGAGUUUCCUUAGGUAGCCACCGACCUACAGUUCUCCUUAAACUUUUGUGCUUGGUGGAAAAGAAGCGAACAAAGGUACGCUCGCUUGCUGUCUUGUUCUCUGCCGCGGACUGGGAUCGCUCGCCAGCUAGGCCCUCUAGAAAAAAGUUGGAGCAAUAUUACCCAUCUUCGGGGACAAGGGGCAGAACGACCUCUCGAUCUACUUACUGCAGCCCAGGACGGGCAUCGUCGUCUAGGCGUGACUUCUUGUUUUGA
rnacentral:rRNA from 1 species